rnacentral:lncRNA from 1 species
GCUAUUUCUCCAUGCCUAGUUACGGACUUUCCUAUAGAGUAGAGAGCUUGUAUCUAUCCCAUUCUCAAACCAUCCCUACAUUGUUUUGUGGGAUGUGCUGGUUCAUAUUCCAGGGCAAGUAGUAGGGCUACAGAAAUGCUGAGAUAAACAGCUCUGCUUUAGGGAUGCCCAGACUACUCUAUCUAUUGUCUUGGGUCCCAAGCAGUCCAAGGUAGAUGAUUUAGUCCCAAGGCUGACGUUUACUUCAGAGAUUUGAAGAGAUCUGCAUGGCAAACAUCAUUUUCAUUGCCAGGCGAGUUUAAAUUGAUGGAUUGGACCCACCAAUGAAACAAGCUGAAGCAAUGAACAAUGCCUUUCCAGACUGUGCAAGACCUUUUUCACUAGGUCAUAGGGGAAUGAGCGUCAUGCCUUACUUUGCUGUGUCAGCUUCCAAAGAAGAGGACGUCAUGCAUCUGGGCAAGGCCAGUGUGGAAAGUGAAAUGUGAUGUUCCUGUUAUGAGUAUUAUUCCAGAAGCGUUUGGAAACAGUGCAUUCAACAAGGAAGCAUCAGAAAAUAAAUAAUAUACAGCAUAUGCA